AUGGAUAUUGUUUGGGAGGUGACCUAAGCAGCCAGGAAUGUGGCGGGGUGGGGGCGGGGAGCCUUUAAUGAGCCAUUCAUCGAUGACUCCCUCCCCCAACCCAAAGAGUUAAACUCUACUUGGGGGCAGUCACUAAAUAAGAAACAAACAUUUGAAGACCCAGGGCAACCAAGUGGUAUUCCAGCGGGCAGAGUGAUGAUAAGGCUCCAAAAGCUGAAGCAAUCUGCCCAUGGUCACACAGCUGGAAGGUGUCAGAGCUGGGAUCCACACGUCUCCUAAUCAACCUCAAGUCUGACCAAGACUGCUUUGUUUGUGGAUCUUGCUGUCAGACACCACGUAAGGUGCCUCCUGUAGUUUUUCUCACCUGACCCAUUCUAAGGAAGACACAAAACCAAGUGCAGUCCCAGAGGCCCUUGGCCAAUUCCAUCCACCAUAAGCACCGCAGGCCUCGCGCUGGGCUGCAGGAAACAUGGAGCCAGAUCCUAAAACAUGUACAUGAGCUGUCAACAAGGAGCAAAAGAAAAUGGAUUUUCUCCUUCCUGGUAAGAGGAUUAAGCAGUAGAAAUCCAGUCAAGAGGAAAGAAGGAACUUCUGAAGGAAACUGCAGAGAGGAUCAAGAGCAUGCAAAUGUUCAAGCUGUGAGGAUGUUUUCUAAGGAGAGGAAGGUGCAGGGGGCACUCCAAACUGUAUCCUGAUCCUGCAUUAGCAUUUCAGAGCUUUCAUCAAGAGACCAGACUGUGCAAACAUGAAAGGAGACCCCGCAUUAGAACCUCCUCCGAGUAAAUCAUCCAUGGUUUAUUUGGAAUUCUGGGUAACAAGCACCUCAAAAGACAUAACUCUCCUUAACCAGGCCUGGAUCUUCUUAUGACUGCCUUCUGCCGUAUAAAUAGCAAGCCAGCUUGCAUAUUUUGCAUUAAUGUCUUCAUGCAGGGCUGGUUUGAGUUUAUUUUUGUUGCUUUCAUUUUAAGACUGUGUUUAUGCCUCUCUGUUAGACUUCCAGCCAGAAGAAAAAUGACAAGAUGCUAAGCUUGUCCUUUUUUCAGAGAUGCUCCAGACGGUUCCUGGAGGCACAUGGGAAGAUUAACAACUUACAGGUGCCAACUCAUGGCAUGGGUGGUUUUCCAAAAUGUUUUUUGUGGAAAAAACAGACACACGAAACUAGGCCUGUGUCUCAGUUUCCACACUUCACAACGGAGCCUCUCGUUCUUAGAGGAGUGGCAGCGUUCACCUAGUGCUGAACUUAGCACCCUGCCUUGUGGGCCACAAAUCCCACUAUAGAGAAAAGCACUAAAUGCGGAAUGGCUCAGAAAAGGCUGUCUCUUAAAAAGGCAGCAGCAUUUUGAGGAGCAAAAAUAGCAAGAGAGAAUUUUUUAAACUUGGAGAAGUUGAACCCAGCUAAGAAUAUUUCAAAGACCCCCCACUUAUGAUUUCCCUCCCCGCCCUGCUUUUCAAUUGACUUGCCUCUUCUGAGGACAGCUAAACACACACACAUUCACAAACUCCUUUUUCAAUCCCACCAACCCUCCUCCCCCAAAGCCAGGCUCGCAAUGACAGCUCCGAACAAUGACAUCACCCCAGGUUUGCCUCUUUGGCAGGGUCACCAAUAUUGUUUGCAGUGGAUUUCCUGUAAAGGUUCUUAAGGCAGGAAACUAGUCCUGUGCCUUGAGUCCUCCGCCUGUUUUGAACCAUCCUGUCAAGUCGAAACAAAGGCUUUUUGUGUUUUUUCCUUUAAAAAAAAAAAAAAAAACUUCCCUGCACUUUUAAUGAGCACCUUAAUUACAGCUAAAGUAUUAGAUAUAUUUACGGAUGACCUCAUGCCUGCUGAUAAUUAGCAAUUUGAAAGACCUGGCACAUCUUUAGCGCUGGUUCCUUCUCCUUCACCCCCUCCCAGAAGCGUUCAGGUUAAUUACUAAGCUUGACCUUCCAAAACAAAGUAGGUCUGGCCCAGUCAGCCCCCCUCCACCUGGGCUCCCAGGCGGAGAGGGGCCCUUCCUCCUUCUGAGUGGAGAAUGGAAACUGCGUCAGAGAGGGUUGAUUCGCCUGGGAUAAUGAUGUAGGAGGGGUGACAGGUUUCUGGGGGGCCCUACUCUAAGUGCCGACAAGUUUUAAUUAACGCCCGGGCUAAUUCAACCCUGGCACAGUCAAGGGGAAGAAAACUGCUCAUCUCGGAGAACGUGUUUCGAUUUGUGAGUCCCAGUAGUGACGGAGGAGUGCCCCUCCAAGGGGGCUCUCACCGAGGACUCUUCCUGUCUAUGUAUGCUUCAGGUUCUCCUGGCCCGUGAAUCCCAAAAGGAGGUACGGCUGACUCAGGCUGUUCCUUUCCAUACACUUCUCUGUGCGAGAGGGGUGUGUGGGCCAGAUUUGGAAAGCGCAAACCGGGUGGCCCUCCAGCAGGGUCCGCCUGCACCCCCACUACUCCCCCAAUCGUCAGUUGUCCCUCCAUUGUAACAUUUUCCAAUUUCCAAAUUUGCUGCGGCCUGCGCCCUGUUAGGGGAGAGGCUGGGAGGCGGACAUUCUCCUCAUUCUUUUGCCUUAUUAGGUUAUGGAUUUGAUUGCUUUUGGGGGGGAUAGGGGCUAAGUUGAGGAAUGGCAUCAGGAAGUGACCUCGGGAAGGGGGGGCUCCCCCGGAGGAAGGCAGUACAGAGGAUGGAAGAGCAAGCAGUGAGAAGCACUGGGGAAGGAACCCUGGAAGAAGCAUGGCUCUGUGAAGCGCUCUAGAAGGUCCCAUGUUCCAGGUCAAUGACUGGAACACCUCUACACCCUGUGAUAGCAUUUCUGCAAGUUAUUUUUGGGGUUAUCAGUGAGAAGCUCUUCCUCUUUCUACAUCAUUACCAGUUGAGGGAUAGCAGCAUGACCUGAGGCUGUGGGUUGUUUCUAACUUGAGUGGAUAAAGAUUUUUUUUUUUCUUUCUUUAGAGGGAAGAGGACAGGGCAAGAAGGGGAUCUAGGGAAAGAGCCCCUGGGCUGAUCCCAAACUUAAUAAUAAGCUGUCUUAUUCAUGAAAAAGCCUUGCCAGCACUACCUAUGGCUCAUCCAGACAUGAAACUGUUCAGGAUUUGCAACUCUGAAAUAAGCUACCUCCCUAGGUAAUGAGGCCCAGAUACUUGACAAAGAAUUGGCCUUUGAAGGUGCUGGCUAGGUUUCAGAGUUCAGAGCUCCCUAGGAGAAGACUGAGGAAAGUGGGUACAUGUUCUGGGUUUUCACUGAGCUGCACAAUUCAGCAGACCUCUUCAAUUCCUUUAAAGAGAAGAUGCGGGAUGCUUGGGUGGCUCAGCUGGUAAAGCAUCUGCCUUUGGCUCAGGUCAUGAUCCCAGGGUUCUGGGAUGGAGCCCACAUCGGGGCUCCCAGCUCAGUGAGGUGUCUCCUUCCCCCUCUUUCUCUUCCUGCCGUUCCCUACUUGUGCUUGUGCACUCUCUGUCAAAUAAAUAAAUAAAAUCUUUAAAAGAGAGAGAGAGAGAGAGAGAGGACAUAAGCAGCUGAGCCCACCUGGAUGCAGGCUGGUGAGCCGCUGAAAUAAUUCUGAGAAGCGUGCCAGGCACUGUGCCAGAUGCUUUAUAUAUACACUAUUUCACUGAAUCCUGGAAUCAUCUUGUGAGGUAGGAUGAUGACCCCUUCCAAAGGAGGACACUGAGGCUUAACCCCUAUCACUUGCCCAGGGUCACACAGCCAGUGGGUGGAAGGAAUGUGUGCAGAAGCUAGGUCUGUCUCCCUCUAAAGGCUGUGCUCUGACCCUCUUCCCACCACACACCUUCCACCACCCCCCAGUUCUGUUGCCAGAACCAAGCCUGGAGAUGGCAGUGCAGGAACACCUCCCACAGGAGCUUCAGCACUCUCAACACCCCCUCCAGGCUUGCAGCUGCUUGGACCAAGAGACAGCCUGAAUCCCAGUGACAUCUGAGCCGCCUUCUCUGGUCUGGUGGGUAGGCUGGGUGCUAUCGGUUAACCCACUAGCUGAGCAGGCAUCUCUUCUCAGAGCCUGGGAUCGUGCAAGAAAUUUUGUGACCCUGUAUAUUCUGCAACUUCUCCCUGAGAAAGCUCUCCCAAAACAUGGGUAGAGCAAGCAUUCUCCCACUACAACCAAUGAACCCCAGGUUCUCUCCACCAAGAAAGCCCACCUCCCUAACAUCACAGCCUUUCAGAAGUGGGAGGAGAAAGCAUCUCAACGAUUAUGAGGCAGAGUCUGCCUCAAAGCCAUAACAAGCUAGAAAAGGAAACCGGCUAAUGCUAAGUCUGCAGCACUUUCUCCCUAACAGCACAAGCAGUGCUCUGGUGCCCAAGCUACAAAGUCUGGCUCGCUCCAGGUAACACUUCCCACCUUCACCACCCCCACCAAUCUUUCCACAGCAAACCUACUGGUCCCCUGCCCCCAGCAGUCUAAAAGAUGGAAGCCAAAAAAAAAGGGGGGGGGCGGAAUCUCUGGGUGGCUCAGCGGUUUGGAGCCUGCCUUUGGCCC